rnacentral:rRNA from 1 species
UACAGAGGAGCCAAGCGUUGUCCGGAUUGACUGGGCGUAAAGCGCACGCAGGUGGUCGUGCAAGUGUCGUGUGAAAGCAGCUCGCUCAACGAGCUGAGGCAUGGCAGACUGCAUAACUCGAGCCCGUGAGAGGUCCGUGGAAUUGCCGGUGUAGUGGUGAAAUGCGUAGAGAUCGGCAGGAACACCCAAGGGGAAGCCAGCGGACUGGCACGGUGCUGACACUGAGGUGCGACAGCGUGGGGAGCAAACGGG